CAGUCGCCGCGGUAAUACGAAGGGUGCAAGCGUUACUCGGAAUUACUGGGCGUAAAGCGCACGCAGGCGGUUUGUUAAGUCAGAUGUGAAAUCCCCGAGCUCAACCUGGGAACUGCAUCCAAAACUGGCGAGCUAGAGUAUGGUAGAGGGUGGUGGAAUUUCCUGUGUAGCGGUGAAAUGCGUAGAUAUAGGAAGGAACAUCAGUGGCGAAGGCGACCACCUGGACUGAUACUGACACUGAGGUGCGAAAGCGUGGGGAGCAAACAGGAUUAGAGACCCCAGUAGUCCCUGUCUCUUAUAC
rnacentral:rRNA from 1 species